rnacentral:rRNA from 1 species
UACGAAGGGGGCUAGCGUUGUUCGGAAUCACUGGGCGUAAAGCGCACGUAGGCGGACUCUUAAGUCAGGGGUGAAAUCCUGGAGCUCAACUCCAGAACUGCCUUUGAUACUGGGAGUCUCGAGUUCGGGAGAGGUGAGUGGAACUGCGAGUGUAGAGGUGAAAUUCGUAGAUAUUCGCAAGAACACCAGUGGCGAAGGCGGCGUUCUGGACUGCAACUGACACUGAGGAACGAAAGCCAGGGGAGCAAACGGG